rnacentral:rRNA from 1 species
GUUGAACGCUGGCGGCGUGCCUAACACAUGCAAGUCGAACGGUAGCAGGAGACACCUUCCUUCUUGACUUACGCGUGGCAGGGGGGUGUAUAAUGUGGAUGAAACUCCUCUAUGGCUGGGAUAAACUCGUGGAAACGGUACCUAAUACGGCUUAACUUUUGAACAGCAAGGUUCAGGAGCGUAAGGCCGCCUUCCAGUCGAUUUUAGCUGAUUCCGUUCGGCAUUAGCUAGUUGGUCAGGUAACGGCUUACCAAGGCGACGAUGCAUAGCCGACCUGAGAGGGUGAUCAGCCACACUGGAACUGAGACACGGUCCAGACUCCUACGGGAGGCAGCAGUAGGGAAUAUUCCGCAAUGGGCGCAAGCCUGACGGAGCAACGCCGCGUGAGUGAAGAAGGUCUUCGGAUCGUAAAACUCUGUUAUUAGGGAAGAACAUAGGUGAAAGAAACUGUGCACAUCUUGACGGUACCUACACAGAAAGCCACGGCUAACUACGUG